rnacentral:rRNA from 1 species
UGGGGAAUAUUGGACAAUGGGCGCAAGCCUGAUCCAGCCAUGCCGCGUGAGUGAAGAAGGCCCUAGGGUUGUAAAACUCUUUCACCGGUGAAGAUAAUGACGGUAGCCGGAGAAGGAGCACCGGCUAACUCCGUGCCAGCAGCCGCGGUUAUACGGAGGGGGCUAGCGUUGUUCGGAGUUACUGGGCGUAAAGCGCGCGUAGGCGGUUCGUUAAGUUGGGCGUGAAAGCCCGGGGCUCAACCCCGGAGGUGCGUCCAAAACUGGCGGACUAGAGACCGAGAGAGGGUGGUGGAAUUCCCAGCGUAGAGGUGAAAUUCGUAGAUAUUGGGAAGAACACCGGUGGCGAAGGCGACCACCUGGCUCGGCCCUGACGCUGAGGCGCGAAAGCGUGGGGAGCAAACAGGAUUAGAUACCCCUGUAGUCC